GGUAAUUUGUUGAUUUGUAUUGGCUUGGUGAUUUGGAGUGGUGGGGAGCAUAGUUGUCACAGCGCUACGGCGAGAUGCGGUAGUAGUUGACCGUCAGGACGCCAUAAGCGAUAAGGUACCAGCCAUAGCUUAACAAUGUACAAUUUAUUCAUUAUUUGCUUUACCUCAAAAAUAUAUUCGACAAUAAAAUUUUAUAUACAUUAAAACUCAAAACAUAAUAACUAAUACUAUGAAAUACAAUUAAAAACACAAUUAUAUGAAUACUUCACAAUUAAAAUUCAAAAAUAAAAUACUUGACAUUGAAAACUAGUAGAACAAAUUAACAAACACUACAUAGAGAAUAAAUGAUCAACUAAUCAACAAUCAUCACACAUUACAAGUCUAAUAAAUAAUAAAUAUUACACCAUAUAGCUAGUCCAUGGGUUAUAAUGAGUGUACAAAAUUACUUAAUCACUUAAUUUGGGUCAACUAUCAAGGGGUAAAUUUUGGCGGCUCGACGUCUAAGCCAAGGCGUUGACUUGUUCUUCUUUAGCGUCAGGACUCCUAGCUGUUGCCUAGGUGACGCCAUGACAACUAUGGUGAGGGGUCUAUUUAUAGAUGACUAGAGAAGGGUCUAGAAACUUAAGGUAAGUAGAGGUUUGGAAGGUUCAAAAACUCUAACUUAGUGGUGAGCAUUGGUAGAAAAGUGAUGGUUCUUGAUGUUGGUGGAAUACUCAAGAAACUAUCAAAUACAUAAAUUUUCACUACAUCCCUCAAAAAUAAAAUUUAAAUUAAUAAAAAAUUACCAAAAGUUUACUUUAAAUUUUUAACACGGUUGCCUCUAAACAAUGGUGUAAAAUAUUGGAGGACAUCUUUCUUCACCUUGUGAUUCUCCCUCCAUCUAUAUGUUCCUAUUAUACACAUUUCUAAAAUCAAUUAAUUGUUAAGUAUAACAUUCUUAUUGUCACAAAGUUCUUACAGAAUACAAAUUUCUCCUAUUCCAAGCACCAGAGGUAAGAAAUCAAAUAAUAUCAUCUAAUGUGGAUGAAACAAGCAUCUAAAUCACAGUGUUCAACAAUUAGCAGCAUACGAAUCUAGUAAAAUAGUCCAAAAAAGCUGAUGAAAUCCAUUGAAAUGCCGACCUUUUCAUCAUCAAGUACCAUGACGUAACAUAAACAAACACCAACCUUAGAAGAUAAAAAAAAGUUUUUAAUCAACCAAUACUAAAACAAAUCCACAAAAAUGUAGUUUUUUCCCUCUAAAAAACUCCUCUUGGAACUAAUGACAAACCUCCUUUAUAACAGUUAACAUCUCAAAAUUCCUACAACACAAACCAACCAAAUUCUGUGUCUUAAUUUAUUAUUAUUUUUAUUUGGAAAAAACCAAUCAAAUACCACAUUCAAAUCAUUAAGGACCUUUUUUUUAAUAUCAAGCAACUAACCCUAUAUAAAACAAUAACCACCUUUUCCUACCAAACAGAAGAAAUAAACAAACAUAUACCUAAUUCAGAAGGAUUGUGUUAAGGCCGUACCUUUGUUUUUUCCUUCCUUUAUAUUCUCUCAAUGGGAAAACUGGAAUCCAACAAUAUUAACAUGGGUGAUUCAAGUGAUGGGUUCAUCAAAUGGAAAUCUUGUUGCUUGCUUUUCUUAUGGUGGCUACGCUACAUAUUGGGUAAAAAAGGGAAAACAUUAUUAUGAGAAAAAAAAAGAGAAAGUUUAGGUUAGAAAAAUACGAGAAAAAGGAUGAGAGAAGAGGAGGAGGGAGAGGGCCCCAAGCAAGAAGGAAGGAAGUUGUCGGAGGAAUUUAUGUAUGUAUUUAUAAGGGCGGGAUUCGUCGAUCUGUUUAGAUUAGAUUGUUAUGUUGUUUCUUCUAUUGGAAUUGGAAUUAAAAUAUAAUAACUGUUUGGCUCAG
rnacentral:lncRNA from 1 species